rnacentral:rRNA from 1 species
AGAGUUUGAUCAUGGCUCAGGACGAACGCUGGCGGCGUGCCUAACACAUGCAAGUCGAACGGAGAAUUUCAAUAAGUUUACUUAGAGAAAUUUUUAGUGGCGGACGGGUGAGUAACGCGUGGGUAACCUACCCAUAAACUCGGGACAACCCUUGGAAACGAGGGCUAAUACCGAAUAAUCUUUUGAUGCGGCAUCGUAUUAAAAGGAAAGGUGGCCUCUGAAUAUGCUACCGAUUAUGGAUGGACCCGCGUCUGAUUAGCUAGUUGGUGGGGUAAAGGCCUACCAAGGCGACGAUCAGUAGCCGGCCUGAGAGGGUGAACGGCCACACUGGGACUGAGACACGGCCCAGACUCCUACGGGAGGCAGCAGUGGGGAAUCUUCCGCAAUGGACGAAAGUCUGACGGAGCAACGCCGCGUGUAUGAUGAAGGUCUUCGGAUUGUAAAGUACUGUCUUUGGGGAAGAAUGAUGCAUUUGAAAAUAUUGAGUGCAUAUGACGGUACCCAAGGAGGAAGCCCCGGCUAACUACGUGCCAGCAGCCGCGGUAAUACGUAGGGGGCAAGCGUUGUCCGGAAUUAUUGGGCGUAAAGGGCGCGUAGGCGGAUAGUUAAGUCCGGUGUGAAAGAUCAGGGCUCAACCCUGAGAGUGCAUCGGAAACUGGUUAUCUUGAGGACAGGAGAGGAAAGUGGAAUUCCACGUGUAGCGGUGAAAUGCGUAGAUAUGUGGAGGAACACCAGUGGCGAAGGCGACUUUCUGGACUGUAACUGACGCUGAGGCGCGAAAGCGUGGGGAGCAAACAGGAUUAGAUACCCUAGUAGUCC